GGCGUAGCUCAAUCGGUAGAGCAGCUGACUUGUAAUCAGCAGGUUGUGGGUUCAAUUCCUAUCGCC
rnacentral:tRNA from 3 species